rnacentral:rRNA from 1 species
GAUGAACGCUGGCGGCGUGCCUAAUACAUGCAAGUCGAGCGAACGGACGAGAAGCUUGCUUUUCUGAUGUUAGCGGCGGACGGGUGAGUAACACGUGGAUAACCUACCUAUAAGACUGGGAUAACUUCGGGAAACCGGAGCUAAUACCGGAUAAUAUUUUGAACCGCAUGGUUCAAAAGUGAAAGACGGUCUUGCUGUCACUUAUAGAUGGAUCCGCGCUGCAUUAGCUAGUUGGUAAGGUAACGGCUUACCAAGGCAACGAUGCAUAGCCGACCUGAGAGGGUGAUCGGACAAACUGGAACGGAGAAACGGUCCAGACUCCUACGGGAGGCAGCAGUAGGGAAUCUUCCGCAAUGGGCGGAAGCCUGACGGAGCAACGCCGCGUGAGUGAUGAAGGUCUUCGGAUCGUAAAACUCUGUUAUUAGGGAAGAACAUAUGUGUAAGUAACUGUGCACAUCUUGACGGUACCUAAUCAGAAAGCCACGGCUAACUACGUG